ACGCAAAUAUGGAAUAAUUCUAUCAAGUUACCAUUGGACCCGGACCUGCCAAAGGGGAACCCGCUUACCUAUCUCCUAAAUCACACUAAAAACAAGAUGUGUUUGUAUACUUUCGGAUUCAUUUCAUUGGCCUCCGGAUGAUGCAGCCCAAGUACUCACUUCCUAUCCUUAUGGUUCACGUCAAGUGUUUGUUUAUCAUUCAGAAGUCUAUUUUUGUGGUUCAAUGAUAUACAUUACAAUUAAAUUCAUUGUAACUUA